rnacentral:rRNA from 1 species
GACGAACGCUGGCGGCGUGCUUAACCCAUGCAAGUCGAGCGAGCGGCGGACGGGUGAGUAAUGUCUGGGAAACUGCCUGAUGGAGGGGGAUAACUACUGGAAACGGUAGCUAAUACCGCAUACCAUCAGAUGUGCCCAGAUGGGAUUAGUUGGUAGGGGGGGGAACGGCUCACCUAGGCGACGAUCCCUAGCUGGUCUGAGAGGAUGACCAGCCACACUGGAACGGAGACACGGUCCAGACUCCUACGGGAGGCAGCAGUGGGGAAUAUUGCACAAUGGGCGCAAGCCUGAUGCAGCCAUGCCGCGUGUGUGAAGAAGGCCUUCGGGUUGUAAAGCACUUUCAGCGGGGAGGCGUUACCCGCAGAAGAAGCACCGGCUAACUCCGUGCCAGCAGCCGCGGUAAUAC